rnacentral:misc_RNA from 1 species
CUCAGAAUAAAGUAAACAUUCCGGAGAGUGUAAAACUGGGUGCCUGGUUUUGCUAGGUGAGUCGGAGAUAACAUUCACAGCUGUAAUUAAACCAUUCAGUAAAUCAUCACGGAAGCAUAAUCGUAAGCCGUANCCAAUACACAAGACUAAUGCCUCCAAGAAAAUUAUCUAUCACCAUUCAUCAAUAAACUCACAUCAAACCCAUCAUGUGCAUAACCGCCUGUGGUAACGGAUUAUGUUUAUAAUUUUCAUGAUAGUGUCAAUACUAAAAAUGCUAUUAUGAGAACCAGUAUUGAAACAUCAGAUUUCGUUUCCCAUUUUCUUUCCAAAAAUUUCUCAAUAAUAAAGAAAAUUGACUGAUU